GCCUUGAUGGUGAAAUGGUAGACACGCGAGACUCAANCAAAAUCUCGUGCUGAAGAGCGUGGAGGUUCGAGUCCUCUUCAAGGCA
rnacentral:tRNA from 1 species